rnacentral:rRNA from 1 species
CAGGCCUUGACAUCCCAUUACCUUCAAGGAAACGGGGNUUCUUUUGGGAGCAGGGAGAAGGUGGUGCAUGGUCGUCGUCAGCUNUUGUCAUGAGAUGUUUGAUUUAGUCCCGCGAGGAGCGCAACCCUUGCCUUUAGUUACCGUCAUUAACUUGGGCAUUUUAGAGGGAUUGCCGGGGACAAACCGGAGGAAGGUGGGGAUGACGUCAGAUCAUCAUGCCCCUUAUGGCAUGGGCUACACACGUGUUCCAAUGGUGGGUACAGAGGGCAGCGAAGCCGGGAGGGGGAGGAAAUCCCAGAAAGCCGUUUUCAGUUCGGAUUGCAGGCUGCAACUCGCCUGCAUGAAGUNGGAAUCGNUAGUAAUNG